AUUUACUGUAAAACAGGGAAUAAACCGGAGCCGAGUUAUUAAUACAAUCCCUGAAAACCCCGGUCGGCAGCCCGCAGAGGGCACCAGCGAGAUGCGUUUGGAGCGGGCGGGGAGCGGCAGAGAGUCAUUUCUGUGAUCCUAUGACUUCUUGAUGUUAAGACAGCAAUGUGCUUACGCUGCCAGUUUGGUCAUACAAGCCACACAAGAAACAAUAAUAUUGGAAGGGGGAAGGAGGGGAGCAACUCUGAAAAAGCAAAAAAAGAAAAAAAAAAAAGAGUAAGGCUGGGCCCGCUGAUGUAAACAAGUUAUGAAAUAACCCAGGUUUGUAUAACUGGCCCGAUUGUGUAAUGCCUUCCCCAGAAGUGGUGGAUAUAUUCAAUGUAGGCAUAUAAGCCAUUCAGAGCUGUUUUCUUAGGAAAAUGAAAUGGAAAAAUCCCUCAAACGACCCGACCAGACUUUCAGGUCCGUGAAUUCACGCCGUUUCCACAGGAAAUAUCUCCCAUUCUUCAAGUGCCGCCCGGCACGGGAGCUUGCGGGGGGAGCAGGACCGGCAGCGCUGGGAGCGCUCCGGCGGCUCCUCGGGAAACUCUGGCUCGGGAAAAAGCCACCGGCAGCCGGAGAGCGGUCGGCGGCUCCCGGUAAAGCGAAGGAGCGGCCGGCAGAGCAAAGCAACACGUCGCCUUUCUCUGGGUCGCACCGGUGGCAGAGGCGAAAAUGGUGUCACCGCCACAGAGCUAAAGCGGGGGACCGGGGCCGGGGGAGAAGCGGGGAGACCACUUUAAACGCUGGAAAAAGCUAGAGCCCACUCCAACCCACCCCCUGCGUGUUCUACGGUGGCUGCAACAGCGCCUUGAAAGUAGCUCAGGCGGCACCUCCUCAAGUCCCAGGCAAGACGCUCAGACUGGUGCGAGCGAGCCCAGGACAGUGUCCAAGUGCCCGGGAAGGAGCGGUGAACGGAGGGACAGAAAAGCUCCCGAGGAGAACAAAAGCAGGAAGGAGGAAGACUGGGAUGCGCCCGUGUAUUUGCGUUACCGGCCUCGGAAAGAAGAGUUGCCCGGAGGAGCCCUGUGAUUUCCGAGCUGGCUCCAGCCCGCCUCUGCGGCUGGUCCCCGGGCACCGGGGAGGGACCCCACCGACACCCGCGGGCCCCGCUCUACCUGAGGCUGGGACAACGGCUGCAGCCCGCCGGACGCUUCCCCGCCGCACGUCCCCGCUCAGGGCAGGCCGCUGCCUCCCACGACACUCCCCGGCCCCGGGUAGGCACCACCGGCCCCAGUAGGAGGAGAACCCCACCGAUAGUCCCGCACAGAAGAGUCGCAGCACUCACUCCGGGCGAGCAGGGAGGGAGGGAAGAAAAGCGGUGGUGUCCAACCGGGGGCGACGUGACGGCGGCUGCGGGCAGCCCGCGCCCCGGCACCGCCUGAGCCCCCGCGGACGGCGCCUCUCCGCUGGAGGAAGCGCCGCUCCCCGGGCGUGGCGGUGAACUCCCGUGCCGGGAGCGCUCGCAGCAGCCCCCGGAGGGACCCGGGGGAGAGGGGCAGCGCCCGGCCCUACCUGCUGGGCUGCGCCGCUGGAGUACGUCUCGGGAUGUCCCGGGGAGCCGCUGCUGCCUCUGGAGGAGGUGUCGAAGUUGCCGGGGUAGUCCUGGUACAUGGUCCGAGGUCGGGCCGGGGGAGCCGCGUCCCCGCCUUCUCACACCGACACCCGCCGCUCCCUCGCCGUCUCCCCGCCCCCUUCUCCCUCCCGAUCUCUUCGGCUCUUGCCGUUCGCCUCCCAACGCUCGCCGCGGACCGGAAAAAAAAAUGCUUUGCAGAGCGGAAAGGUAAAAAAAAAUAAUAAAAAGAGAGAAAAAAAAGAAAAACAACAAAAUAAAAAUAAAAGAGGCUGAAGUAGCA